rnacentral:rRNA from 1 species
AUGAUGUGGUUAAUUCGAUGCAACGCGAAAACCUUACCACCUUUGACAUGUACGGAAUCCUUUAGAGAUAGAGGAGUGCUCGAAAGAGAGCCGUAACACAGGUGCUGCAUGGCUGUCGUCAGCUCGUGUCGUGAGAUGUUGGGUUAAGUCCCGCAACGAGCGCAACCCUUGUCAUUAGUUGCUACAUUCAGUUGGGCACUCUAAUGAGACUGCCGGUGACAAACCGGAGGAAGGUGGGGAUGACGUCAAGUCCUCAUGGCCCUUAUAGGUGGGGCUACACACGUCAUACAAUGGAUGGUACAAAGGGUCGCCAACCCGCGAGGGGGAGCCAAUCCCAUAAAGCCAUUCGUAGUCCGGAUCGCAGUCUGCAACUCGACUGCGUGAAGUCGGAAUCGCUAGUAAUCGUGGAUCAGAAUGUCACGGUGAAUACGUUCCCGGGUCUU